GCCUGGAUAGCUCAGUUGGUUAGAGCAUGGUGCUGAUACCGCCAAGGUUGCAGGUUCGAUCCCUGGAUGGGGCA